rnacentral:rRNA from 1 species
CAGCAGCCGCGGUAAUACGGAGGGCGCGAGCGUUACCCGGAUUCACUGGGCGUAAAGGGCGUGUAGGCGGCCUGGGGCGUCCCAUGUGAAAGACCACGGCUCAACCGUGGGGGAGCGUGGGAUACGCUCAGGCUAGACGGUGGGAGAGGGUGGUGGAAUUCCCGGAGUAGCGGUGAAAUGCGCAGAUACCGGGAGGAACGCCGAUGGCGAAGGCAGCCACCUGGUCCACCCGUGACGCUGAGGCGCGAAAGCGUGGGGAGCAAACCGGAUUAGAUACCCGGGUAGUCCACGCCCUAAACGAUGCGCGCUAGGUCUCUGGGUCUCCUGGGGGCCGAAGCUAACGCGUUAAGUGCGCCGCCUGGGGAGUACGGCCGCAAGGCUGAAACUCAAAGGAAUUGACGG